UACAGGGGGUGCAAACGUUGCUCGGAAUCAUUGGGCGUAAAGCGCACGUAGGCGGUCUGUCAUGUCGGAUGUGAAAGCCCUUGGCUCAACUGAGGAAGUGCAUCCGAAACUGGCAGGCUAGAGUACUAAAGAGGGUCGCGGAAUUCCCGGUGUAGAGGUGAAAUUCGUAGAUAUCGGGAGGAACACCGGUGGCGAAGGCGGCGACCUGGGUAGAUACUGACGCUGAGGUGCGAAAGCGUGGGGAGCAAACAGG
rnacentral:rRNA from 1 species